rnacentral:rRNA from 1 species
CGCUAGCGUAUAUUAAAGUUGUUGCAGUUAAAAAGCUCGUAGUUGAACCUUGGGCUUGGCUGGCCGGUCCGCCUCACCGCGUGCACUGGUCCGGCCGAGCCUUUCCUUCUGGGGAACCGCAUGGCCUUCGCUGGCCGUGUCGGGGAACCAGGACUUUUACUUUGAAAAAAUUAGAGUGUUCAAAGCAGGCCUUUGCUCGAAUACAUUAGCAUGGAAUAAUAGAAUAGGACGGCCCUCCUAUUUUGUUGGUUUCUAGGGGAGCCGUAAUGAUUAACAGGGACAGUCGGGGGCAUCGGUAUUCAAUUGUCAGAGGUGAAAUUCUUGGAUUUAUUGAAGACCAACUACUGCGAAAGCAUUUGCCAAGGAUGUUUUCAUGAA